GUACAUGUAUGGAAAAUUUUGGAAGUCAAUUGCUACAAUUUUUAUCUGAUCACGCGGCACAAGUCUAUCACUGUCUAGUGCAUGGGUUAAGUUCCUCUCUUUCCAAUUCCGGGUACAGGUACAGGUACUUUGUGGCGUCGUCCAUCUCAAAAAUGGAAAAACCACAACUUCAAAAUAUUAUUUCCGUACAUUUGCAGAGGGAGUUCAAAAAACAAAAUAUAUAGACGGGUCCAGAAAAUCUCGACGUCAAUGCCAUUCAACUGUCACAAAGUGUAAAACACCUGUCAAAAACUACUUUCUGGAUAAUGAACACUGUGACUGCUAGAAAAUAUUCCAUUUGUUAACUUUUAUACUACUAUACUAAUAUCACACAAAUUUUUUCAAGCAUUAUGUAACAUAUCUUAGCAUCACUCAUAAUUCUCUGAACUUGUAAAAUUUGUAUUGAUGGCUUUUUGCAAAU